AGUCGAACGGUGAAGCCCAGCUUGUCUGGGUGGAUCAGUGGCGAACGGGUGAGUAACACGUGAGCAACCUGCCCCUGACUCUGGGAUAAGCGCUGGAAACGGCGUCUAAUACUGGAUACGAGACGUGAUCGCAUGGUCAACGUUUGGAAAGAUUUUUCGGUUGGGGAUGGGCUCGCGGCCUAUCAGCUUGUUGGUGAGGUAAUGGCUCACCAAGGCGUCGACGGGUAGCCGGCCUGAGAGGGUGACCGGCCACACUGGGACUGAGACACGGCCCAGACUCCUACGGGAGGCAGCAGUGGGGAAUAUUGCMCAAUGGGSGCAAGCCUGAUGCAGCAACGCCGCGUGAGGGAUGACGGCCUUCGGGUUGUAAACCUYUUUUAGCAGGGAAGAAGCGAGAGUGACGGKACCUGCAGAAAAAGCMCCGGCUAACUACGUGCCAGCAGCCGCGGUAAUACGUAGGGUGCAAGCGUUAUCCGGAAUUAUUGGGCGUAAAGAGCUCGUAGGCGGUUUGUCGCGUCUGCUGUGAAAUCUGGGGGCUCAACCCCCAGCCUGCAGUGGGUACGGGCAGACUAGAGUGCGGUAGGGGAGAUUGGAAUUCYUGGKGUAGCGGUGGAAUGCGCAGAUAUCAGGAGGAACACCGAUGGCGAAGGCAGAUCUCUGGGCCGUAACUGACGCUGAGGAGCGAAAGGGUGGGGAGCAAACAGGCUUAGAUACCCUGGUAGUCCACCCCGUAAACGUUGGGAACUAGUUGUGGGGUCCAUUCCACGGAUUCCGUGACGCAGCUAACGCAUUAAGUUCCCCGCCUGGGGAGUACGGCCGCAAGGCUAAAACUCAAAGGAAUUGACGGGGACCCGCACAAGCGGCGGAGCAUGCGGAUUAAUUCGAUGCAACGCGAAGAACCUUACCAAGGCUUGACAUAUACGAGAACGGGCCAGAAAUGGUCAACUCUUUGGACACUCGUAAACAGGUGGUGCAUGGUUGUCGUCAGCUCGUGUCGUGAGAUGUUGGGUUAAGUCCCGCAACGAGCGCAACCCUCGUUCUAUUUGGCCAGCACGUAAUGGUGGGAACCAUGGGAAACCUGCCGGGGUCAACUCGAAGGAAGGUGGGGA
rnacentral:rRNA from 1 species